AACGAACGCUGGCGGCAUGCCUAACACAUGCAAGUCGAACGAUGCUUUCGGGCAUAGUGGCGCACGGGUGCGUAACGCGUGGGAAUCUGCCCUUGGGUUCGGAAUAACAGUGAGAAAUUGCUGCUAAUACCGGAUGAUGUCUUCGGACCAAAGAUUUAUCGCCCAGGGAUGAGCCCGCGUAGGAUUAGCUUGUUGGUGGGGUAAUGGCCUACCAAGGCGACGAUCCUUAGCUGGUCUGAGAGGAUGAUCAGCCACACUGGGACUGGGACGCGGCCCAGACUCCUACGGGAGGCAGCAGUGGGGAAUAUUGGAAAAUGGGCGCAAGCCUGAUCCAGCAAUGCCGCGUGAGUGAUGAAGGCCUUAGGGUUGUAAAGCUCUUUUACACGGGAUGAUAAUGACAGUACCGGGAGAAUAAGCGCCGGCUAACUCCGUG
rnacentral:rRNA from 1 species